rnacentral:lncRNA from 1 species
AUCAUGUCUGAAGGCAUCCAGCCCUGAUAUUGCCAAGGCCAGAAAAUUUGAGGCCACAUUUUGCUUUUUAUCUGUUCCUUGUGUAAGACAUGAUUUCCAAAGCCAAACGAUUCUGUUUGCUUUUUAGUGUACAUUUGAAUGGACCCUUUUAGCUUCAAAUAGGAAACUCUGUCUCUGAUGUAGAUAGUUUUGAUUAGUCUUUCAAAAUGAGUAACUCAUUAACAUGUG